GUCUAAGAAAACAUAUAUUGCAAAGGUAUAACGUGUUGUGCUGAGACAAGGCAGGUGACUGAACAGAGUCCUGAGCAAGUUCUGUGCAUCUGCCCAAUAUGAUGCAAUUAUCCUCAUGCAGACUGUAUGAUGCUCUUCUAAAAGCCACCACACCUCUUUGGCUGGGGGACUUCUCUUCUUUCAGCCAGACACCGUGGCCUCUUUAUAAAAAUUCAGAAGACCACCGUAUUUCCGAUGAAUCAUACCUGGGCCAAGAAGAGUAAAGGUAAACCAUGAAAUACCAUUGACCUUUCAGUGGACGAUCCAUGGAACUGUUUCAUUCGGAGCAGAUGAAUUUCCUCUGACAAUGUUACUGAUGCAAACUAUGUCUGCCAAAUGCUGUACUGUCUCAUUUGAAAAUCUUACCUUUGAUUUUAAAAGACAGCAUGAGGGAUCUGUUUAUACUCCUUGGCCCUCCCGCGGAUUAUCUGACUGCAGUGGGAUGCCUCACGCCACGAAGCCUGGCUUGGACUCCACGGGGUUGAGGAUGAUCAGAGCUGCUCUCUUUUGCGAAACACACAGGCAUUGAUAUAAAAGCCCUCAAAAUAGUGUCUUCCAAAGGCUCUUGUCUCCUAGGGUUCUUCUUUCAUCUUUCCUCCUCAUAUAAGAGUGAAUACUCCAGAUUCCACCCCUGGGGAGACUUCUGUGAACAACAUUUAAAUACCCAUCACCAGUUAGACUGCAUUCUGAGAGAGGCACUGGAAGCCCCAUCUGGAGAUAUGUGAUGUGUGAGGUCUCACCUUUUGAAAUGGAACGAGCAGAAGAUUCUUGAGGCUUUCUUGCUGUGCAAACCAUUAGGUAUUGAUUGGCUGGACGACUUGGAGUUUGCUGGUUUCAGGUGGUAUUAGGUUUUAUAAAUGUGACUUUGAAAAAAUUUUUACACAAUUUUAAGGGAUGGUGCAUUUUUCUUGGCAAGGCAGCCCAACGCUUUCAAACAGUGAAAAAUCAUCUGAGAGCAUUAGCAGGUUUGAAAAGGAACAUUUAUUAGUUAAUGCUGCCAUUUCUUU